rnacentral:rRNA from 1 species
UACGUAGGGCGCAAGCGUUGUCCGGAAUUAUUGGGCGUAAAGAGCUCGUAGGCGGCUUGUCGCGUCGGUUGUGAAAGCCCGGGGCUUAACCCCGGGUCUGCAGUCGAUACGGGCAGGCUAGAGUUCGGUAGGGGAGAUCGGAAUUCCUGGUGUAGCGGUGAAAUGCGCAGAUAUCAGGAAGAACACCAAUGGCGAAGGCAGCUCUCUGGGACGGUACUGACGCUGAGACGCGAAAGCGUGGGGAGCGAACAGG